rnacentral:rRNA from 1 species
GACGGAGGGUGCUAGCGUUGUUCGGAAUCACUGGGCGUAAAGGGCGCGUAGGCGGCCUUGCAAGUCGGUUGGUGAAAGCCCGGGGCUCAACCCCGGAGGUGCGGCCGAGACUGCAGGGCUGGAGGCCGGAAGAGGAGGGUGGAAUACCCAGUGUAGAGGUGAAAUUCGUAGAUAUUGGGUGGAACACCGGUGGCGAAAGCGGCUCUCUGGUCCGGAACUGACGCUGAGGCGCGAAAGCGUGGGGAGCAAACAGG